rnacentral:rRNA from 1 species
UACAGAGGUCUCAAGCGUUGUUCGGAUUCAUUGGGCGUAAAGGGUGCGUAGGUGGCGCUGUAAGUCGGGUGUGAAAUUUCGGAGCUUAACUCCGAAACUGCAUUCGAUACUGCGGUGCUUGAGGACUGGAGAGGAGUACUGGAAUUCGAUGGUGUAGCAGUGAAAUGCGUGAGAGAUCAUGAGGAAGACCAGUGGCGAAGGCGGGUCUCUGGGCCGAUACUGACGCUGAGACGCGAAAGCGUGGGGAGCGAACAGG